rnacentral:rRNA from 1 species
AUACGGAGGGUGCAAGCGUUAAUCGGAAUUACUGGGCGUAAAGAGUACGUAGGUGGUUUAUUAAGUCAGAUGUGAAAGCCCCGGGCUCAACCUGGGAACUGCAUUUGAAACUAGUAGACUAGAGUAUGGUAGAGGGGGGUAGAAUUUCUAGUGUAGCGGUGAAAUGCGUAGAUAUUAGAAGGAAUACCAGUGGCGAAGGCGGCCCCCUGGACCAAUACUGACACUGAGGUACGAAAGCGUGGGUAGCGAACAGGAUUAGAAACCCUUGUAGUCC